AAAUAUUGUGCCACUGAAUUUUCUAUGCACAGAGGAAAAGGUUGGGUGCUUGGUUGCUGCUCAGUUGCUGCAAUAAGGACAUGACAAGCACUCAUGAAGGAGUAGCUGCAAGUUGCCUUCUAAGGGUCCACAGGACCAUAUUGUCUUUAGCAGUUCCCUGUCAUCUGAAGGAAAAUCAGCUUCUUGGAACAGUAUUCCAAAAGUUCAUGUGUUUUGAAACUGUCUGGUAUUUUUCAGAGGUCUUCUGUAAAGUAAUAAAGUCAUGGAAGUCCAUUGAGAGAGCCCUUUUCAAUCCAGUGGCACAAAAUGUGUUCCAUGCCUUCAAAGACAAAAGUUCAGAUCUUCAUGUUGAGUGGAAAUAAAACAUCUGCAAAUUCAAGAAACAAGGUUUGAUAUCUGCUCAAGUUUACAUCACAUAAAAACAUUAAUAUGAGAAUCACUGAAUAUCCUGAUUUGGAAAGGAUCCACAAGCAUUCACAAGGAGGUGGAAGAGACCCACAACGAUUCCUUCCAAAGAAACUAGACUGCUUCCACAGCCCCAGGAGCAACCCAGUGUGUUGUUGUCACUAAUGAGCGCUUAGCACUCAUGGCCAGACAACAGCCAGGCCAAAGUAAACCCUUAAGCAUGUUUAGAAAAGGCUUGAGGACUUCAGAAGCAUCUUUUUCACUGUCCAGACCCACUGCACUGCAUUCAUUGCUGAUGUUGACACAGUCUGAAUGAACCUCUUCUUUGUUUUAUCAAGUAUGGUGAGGAAAGUCUUUUGUUUCCUAACUCCUGGAAAAAAAAAAGGUUUGCAAAUGAUGAAUGUUGAGUGGAGAGAAGCAUUUCCCUGCACCUCAGACUUAGGCACAUCUUUGUGGCCAGAAUAUUAGGGCUCACUCUUUAGUGUAGUUUAAGCAUCUGGAUUAAUGGCCUGAUUUUUUUGGUUCCCGUUUUUACAUGAUGAAUUCACCGUACACAUGAUAUAAACAGGUGAAGUACUUGAUUUGGGUCUGGAGUUGCCACAAAUUACUGAGUACCUAAAACUUGUUAGUUUAGUUAGCAUUUGGUACUUCUGAGCACUAACAGCAGAACUAGUGCACUUGAGUUUACAAAUGACAUUCAAAAGGUUUCCUUCUAAGAUGAGACAGAUUCUGCAAUUUCAUUUAAAGUGCUCAAAUAAAUGAGCUGACAUCACUUGUAUUACCUUGCAUUUGCCAUUCACUAAAAAGUCACUCUUUUUACUUUCUACAAAAAGCAGUGAAAAAAAUGAUCAUACAAAUCCACCUUAGUCUACUUGGAUAUUGUUGAUUCCUUCAUAGAACAUCUCUGAGUCACUGUCUCCCUAGACAGGGGUUAGAUUGUCUUCGAUCAGUAUUCAUAUUGUUUGCUCUUCAUCAACACAGUUCUAAGCAUCAACCAUGAAAUUGCAGCAUCUCUCCCUGCAAUUGCAAAUUAUGCUAGAACAUGUAAAGCCAUCCCACAGAGCAUUGUCUUGCUAUUAGGUCACCCAUUGCUCUGACAAAGAUGAUUUAGGGGUGAUUUCAGACAGAGAGAAGGGGUGAUUUGGAGGUCAGAAUAUGUUGCCAGCAACAAAGGUUAGAAUUUAAAUUUGUCUGACUGAAUAUAUGUUCAAAAAUGCUAUGCUUCUCCAACUUCAUCAUUUUGCAUAGACAUAGACCAUUGAAAUAGCCGUUGAAAUCCAUAAUACAGAGAUAAAAGGUGAUCAUCAAAUCGCAUGACUUGCUUCUUGCUUUGUAGUAUGACUUUGCUUUUUCUUAUUUUUUGUAGGCUGACAGAACCAUAUUAACUGUGUUUUUACUAUUUAGUUUUCUUUUACUGUUUCUUAUUUUUGAAGCCAGAACUCAAAAUCAACAUCAGUUGUAUAGAGAUACACACAAGAAAAAAAGAAAGACACAUAAGCUCUGCUCACAAGGAUCAACGUGUGCUGGUGGACAGCAGGUUGGCCAUGAUCCAGCAGUGUGCCUUUGUGGCCAAGAGGGCCAAUGAUACCAUGGGAUGCCUUAAAAAGAGUAUGGCCAGCAGGUCGAGGGAGGUGAUUCUCCCACUCUGCCCUGGUGAGGCCACAUUUGGAGUACAGUGUCCAGUUCAGGGCUCCCUAGUUCAAGAAAGACAGGGAACUACUGUAGAGAGUCCAGUGGAGGGACACAAAGAUAAUUAGGGGUCUGAGCCUGGAGGAAAACCUGGGACUGUUCAGCCUGGGGAAGACUGUGGAGGGAUCUUACAAGUGCUAAUAAAUAUCUAAAGGAAGGAUGUCAAGUAGAUGGUACCAUGCUCUUUUCAGCUGUGCCCAGCAACAAAAUGAGGGACAAUGGGUAAAAACUGACAAAUGGGAAAUUCCAUGCAAACAUGAGGAAUAACUUUGAGGAUGACAGCACUGGAAUAAGCUCCCCAGAGAAGCUGUAGAAUCUCCUCUGGAGACAAUCAAAAUUUGCCUGGAUGAUUUCCUCUGCAGCCUACUUCAGGGAACCUGCUUUAACAGGGUUGUACUAGAUGAUAUCUAGAGGUCCCUUCCAACCUCUACGAUUCUGUAAUUGUAUU
ensembl:lncRNA